GGCUGUACAAUACAGUAACCAAUAGGUUAUUAGGGUCCAGGGUGGUCCAACUUAGAGCUCGUGCCAAGUGUGCUUGUGGGAAUCCUCAGGAAACAGAUGUUACUGCCAGAUUCUGCCUCUGAAAAAAGGUCUGGGCUCAACAAGUAGCUUCAGUGAGUCAAAGGUGUCUGCGUCUCUGCAUGAAGAUGGUGAAAGCUCAGACACUGAGAGAAUGUCAAGCUCGUAAAACCCACCAUCUAGGCAUUUGGAUGGCUUGGGAAGAACGUGGCAAGCACAGAAGAAUUAAACACUUUACUGAACAUACUGUGUGCAAAUCUUGCUGUAAUAGUUCAGCUCGUCUUAUGAGACCAGAUCACCUGACAGUAAUACAAGAAAGAAAACAAAAGACCUGAGCAAACCUGAAAUAUUUUUAAAAAAAUAAUUAAAAAAUCUCAUCCAUCUAUUAUAAAUCUAAUCAUGUAAGUGAUUACUUCCUGGUUUUGUUUUCCCAAAGCUGUGCCUUUCUAAACCGAAAGAGUUAGGAAGCCUCUGUUGCAUUUCCAGGUCUGGAACCCCCAUGACCAAUACUUUUCAGAGCAUCCUUCGUGGUAGAUUACAGGCAAGUCUGAGAGGGCCUAACUUGUGACACAGAAAUUUUGCCACCUUUCAUGGUUUUGUGCCAAACACAGCUCAUUUAAUGUGGGACAGGCAGGAGAAGAGUGAGCAUAAUAUUGCUUCUUGAAAGAGCUUCUCAUUGCUUCUUGGGGAGCAUGAGGUUUCAGCCAAGGGAUCAGGGCACUGAAAGAUGAAACACAGGCCACAGUCUUUGCCUGAAGCAGUAACUCUGAUUAUUAUUAGAUAAAAUAAGUCACUGGAAUAGGAAUGGAAAUCCAAGCCUUCUCUCUUUCCACGAGAAUAUUUAAAUGUUCAUGAUGGAUUGGAAUUUAAAAUCAUCCUUGAACUCAGUGACCACUUCCUGGCAUACCCUGCUUUAGCACACUGUAUUUUGUAGCUCCUCUUUGACAAGAAAUUCAUUUGCCUGAGAACUACCUUUGAAAUACUCAGCUUUAUGUUGUCAUAGCUUCUUUGCAAAACUGCCUAUAGUACUAACAAGUCUAUGCAAGGUCCCAUGCAUCACUCAGACUUACAGCAUUUUAUAGACAGUGCAGGAGAGCUACAAGAGUCAUUUUAAAAACCGUUUGCUGUUUCAAUAAAACAAAAUAUCUAAAUAUGACGUAUUAUACGAAGCAGACAACACCUUACAGCUAAACAGUAAAAUGAAAAUGAAAUCUAUAUAACUGUGAUCAAAGUGAAAAUAUCAUUCACUCAUAAUUCUAAAGUAAAAAGAAUAAAAAGAGCUUGUUAGGCUAUGGUCUGCAGAUAAGGACUAAGCUGAGAAAAGGAAGCUCAAAUGUCUGAGACUUUUAGUUAAAAAAUAAAGAGUACACAAAUACAGGAACUUUUAACACACCAGAAUAUUCUCAAGGUUGAAUUAAAAUAUUGCUCACCUUUCAGCACUGUAUAAAAGACACUGUUAAAAUAAAUGGUGCUAAUUUAGUGUGAGUAUAAAAUGACCUGAUUGACAGCUGCGGGGAAUUUUGUUCAGAAAACAGUACUAGAAAGGCAAAUUUCCCUACAUUGUCAUCAUCAAUGUACCUUACCUAAAAAGAGCUAUCAUAGGGGUAAUUACUGCGUCAAACCUGCUUGUAUUUUUUAUCUUUUUUCGGUCACAUGGCUUCUGUCUCACUUGGUUUUAGAUUGAUACUGUCAGGCUCGUUACAUCUAGCCCAGCAAGCAGGCACUGUAUCACACUGGGCAGAAUAUUUUGAGGAGUGUGACAGACCCCAGACCAAAUAUCAAUGUUUUUGGCACUCUGUAAGUGGAUCUGUGCACUGCCAAGAGGUGCAGCAUGGCAGGCAGCAAAGCAGUUGGUGUGGACAGACAUCUCCAUGCCCUGCCCUGCCCACAUCCGUGCCUGUGCCCACGCUCAUGCCUUGCCCGUGCCUCAGUCGUGCAGUUUGGUCUCAGACUAGCUCAGCCCUACUCCAGAGCUGUCCCUGGGGUUUUCUCAGCCUAGAGGUGCCCUGGGGCCUCCCUUGUGGGUGAGGUGCUGCUGCAGGGAACCUGGUUUGUAUAUUCUGAGCCCGCGCCACUGUGUGAGCUGUGGCACAGUAAACUGGGGUGAUCCCUAAAUUUGCUCCCUAAAAAGCAUGCUUGUGGUACAAGCUGGAAGGCUGACUGUGGUGGCUCCUCCACUUCAGCUACAGAUCUCACUGGCUGAAAUUAACUGCAGGUGUGAAAAAAACCCAUAGAAGUCAAGAACUGGCCCAGAGGGUAAACUUCGAUUUAAAUAUUUUGUUUGCAUUUGUAUUGGGUGCAGGUGUCAAGGAGUGGUCUCUGUGAAGAGGGGCUGGAUCUGCUCCAUGCCAGACACAGCUGGCUCCAGCCAACUCCAUCUGACCCUCUCCAGGGCAUGGCUGAGUCCCAGAGUCACAUAUAAAAGGAGAGGCUGAAAGUGCCAAAUGGAGACAGGAGGAGGGAACAAACAGAGAAAUAGAGGAGGCAAGGUCAGAGGAGCAGGAGGAAGGAGAAGGUAUUCCCUGGCACCAGAGCAAGCAUCCACCUCAGCCUGUGCAGAACUCCAUGUCAUAGCAUGGGGCUGUUCCCAGAGGAGCUGCCACCACGGAGGGGCAGAGGGAAGAUGUGAGAAGGAGGGAGCUGCAGAGAGAAACUGCUGAGUGCCAACUGUGACCUCCUGAGCUGCCCUGAACUGGAGGUGUGAAGUUAACCCUGAGAAAAAGAGGAAGUGUUGUUUUAAAGUUUGUGUAUUUUAUUUUUCCAAUUAAAUUUUUACUUUGAUUGACAAUAAUUUUAUUUAAUUUUCCCCAGCUUGAAUCUGUCCACAAAGGUAACUGAUAAAUGAUGUCCCUGUCCUUAUGUGAACAUGGGAACAUUCUUGUUCUUGUUUUUCCUGUUUUCUUCCCCCACCACACUGAAAGAGGCACCUGCUUUCUUUUCAGGACUGAAGUUAGUUCAUGCUCUUCAAGGAAGGACUGGAUUUUGACACCUACUUCCAGUUGAUGGGUCACAAAGAAGAGUCCCAAUCCUGCAGUGAAGCUCCAAAACCCCAGAGAAGGAGGAAGUACAGAACAUAACCUUCUCUGCUGCACUUCCCACCUGCAAACUUAUUCAGAUUUCUGGUAUGAGUCAUAACCUUUGAUGCCUGAUUUGCAACAUGCACGUUUCAGGACUGUACAGGCAGCCCAGGAACAGAAGUCAGAACUGUGAACUCCCCUAUAUUAACAAAAUUACUCAUUACUGAGGCCGUAUUGAUGAACAUUUCACUGCCUAAGCUUUUGUGUAACUUCAAUCCUGUACCACAUGUUUUCCUGCUCCAUUCUCUGAAGCAAUUGUUUCUGGACACUUCCAUGCAGGACAUCAGGCUCCAGAAACCUGUUGGUUUGCACCAACUUUUGUUUUCUGUUGAUCUGCUCUAAACCAGUCGAUGUAAGCUUUUUUUGAAAUUACACAUUCAAAAUUUUCUCCUAAAUACACCUCACUAUUUCUUCUGCUUCCCCAAGUAAACCUACAUUCUUUUAGGCAACUCCUAUGGCACAGUUAAUGUAAGAUCAUUUUUAGUGUUCAGAUAAAGUCACACUUACCUAUUAUCAGAGGCUCAACACAUUUUGUCAGAUCUUUGGCAGAACUUGAAAAAGAUACUAAAUUACUAUGAGAAAGCUUUAGCUUUAUGUGGUCUGAAGAUAGAUGGCAAAUAAAAAAAAGACAGAGUAUGCCUGUGCUGGAGUUGUAACUUAAUGCAUUGCUAACAUCUGCUUCCUUUGUAUGACUAGGCACACUCACACUUUUAUUUGUUCUUUAUUACCAAAAUUUUCAGUUCUUUAUAUGAACUGUGUGUUACUGUCACAUUUAAUAAAGAAAUCCUGCAUAAAAGAGCUCUCACACAUGUAAGUUUAAUGCUCCCAGCUUCAAUUCCUUUCUCUAAAAGGCUAUGAACCCACUUCUCUCGCCUUCCAGGUGAAGGUUUGAGUCAGUAAACUACAGGCUUAUGUGAAAGCAGAUGCUCUCAUGCCCUCUUAUUGUGAUUGUUCCACUUUAAUAUUAAAUAUAGUAUUAUCAUUCCGUAUUCAGUAGACCAGAAAGAGAGGGUGAACAAGCACCUGAACAGAAACACAACCAAAUAAUUUAGCUGUUAGAGUACUUACCUAAAAGAAAAAAAAAAAGGGACUCUGUUACUCUCCCUGCUACAAUGCAUACUUAAACUUUAGAUGCUUAAACUUUUACUGGCAUUUCAAAAGAAACCUAGACUUCUUAGGCAAACACUCUUAUAACAAGGCACAGGAGGUAUGUUUACAGGCCUCCCUCUCUGGUCUGCACCACAGAGAACUGUUUCAACAGGAAGGAUGAAGACUGAAGAAUAUCGUAAAGACCAAGGUUUAAAGUAUGGAGUAAUGAAUUAAAAAUGUCCACAAGACCACCAAGAAGAAGGGAAAUAUUUGAACAUCUAAACCUCUAAAUAGUGGAAAUAUAUGCUAAUGGCUAAUCCACAGAGGAACUGAUGAUAAAUAAGCAGGGAGAAAGAGAAACUGAAGGAACAUUUCCAUCAACCAGAACCAGAAUUAAUAUAUGUGUGCCCAUGUAUUUGAGGGACAGAGGAAGACUUCUUCUCUUGCUACUCAUUCAAAGAAACCACCUCCUGGAGACUGUGAAGCCCAGCCCUGGGCACACCUGCAGCGGGGACCUCUCCCCUGAGGACACGUGGCCGCAGCUCCCGGCUUUCUGCUGGAUGUCCCCAUCCCUGCCUUGCCGCCCGCAGGCUGCGCCGCAGGGAAGGGCUGAGCCAGCGAGGGGUCCCCACCUCGCCUGCCUGUGUGGGAGGGAGAGGGAACCAGGGCACGGUCUCGGGUCGCUGCCUGCUGAUCGCCUGCAGCACAGAGAUGAGCUGAGCGACGGGGUGAGCAAAAGCUAACCAGAAGAUGCUGUCCAAGAAGUUGGCCAAGAAAAAAAGCAGAGCUAACCUCAAGAUUCAUUAUCUUCCCAAAUAACAGAUUCCUGGUAACAGAAGCUACAGGACAAGGAGGAGGAGCUUGUGUUCCUGUCAGGAAUACAUUUCAACUCUGUUUUGGAAAUAAUUAGGAGUUGCACCAAUUCCUCCACAUCCCAAGUUUUGGCAUUGUUUCUUAUUAUACUGUGUGCUGCUUCAAACAAGAAAGGAGAACCAAAAAGGAGUCUGAUUUCUAAAA